GAGCUUGAGUCUUGGACAUUUCUUUUUUUUUCUUCCUUUUUCGGGUGGGGUGCUGGCUGCUGGUGGGUGGCGAGGAGGAGGGUGGCAGGGGCUAGGGGUUGGAGAGACCUAGGGUAGCGGACACUGGCGGACUGGAGGCGGCGGCGUGCGGACCGAAGAAGAGGAAGGCAGAGGAACGGGCACAGGUCGCACGUGGCGGCCGGGUGGGUACCGCGACAGUGGCGCCGGUGGGUGAAGAGGAUGGAGGGGUGCCGCUCCGCACGGAGGUGGCGGCGGCGCUGGGGUCGGCACGUAGAGGCCGCACCGCGGAGGGGUGGUGGCGACGAUGGGGUAGGGCGGGGAUGGGGGAUGAGGCAGCGGCGGACGGCCCGCCUGGAGCUAAAGGGAUGUCCUCCUUCCCCAAGAGUGGCCGAUGCACCCUAUUCCGGUCCCUCUGAACGCCCAGUACGCCCGUGGCCACAACGCAUCGUCAUCCCGCGGCGGCAGCUUAAAAAGUUCCUCUACGCCGGGGAAGGGGCAGGUUGACGCUGGUACCGCAACAGGUUGGAGCAGACACGCGCGUCAGGUAGGAACAAGUGAGCGAGCGGUCGUCUCCACUCUGGGGGGACGGGGGAAGAGGUGGAGUACACGAGGAAGGCGUGACGGCUGCGCCGUGACUAUCGUUUACAGUGCCGCAUGCAGAUCAAGUGAGUCCCCACGAGAGAGGCGAAGAGGCAACUCGAAUCACCUGGUGAUUGGGUUUGGGUCGCGCGAAGAUCUACAACGGAGCCCCUUCUCGUUCAAGGUUUACACUUUAAACCAUCAAGUUCACCGGCCUUAAGCACGAACACACCCCGCCCGACCGUCAACUUAGACGAGGUCGUUAAGUCAAGAAAAGUUAAAAAGGUACACGUCGUCCUGUACUUAUACUCACAUACCUUUUGCACAUACAUCUGUAACUCUUUCAAGUCAUAACAAAGAAGAUCGAGCGAGUACGUCGAUACGUCUAGUAAAUAAAAGUCCGGUAGGGGCAGGUCGGGAGGACACCAUCCUUCCAGCUCGGGUAGCGUUCGACAUCAGGUGCUAUCAGUGGGCCAGGACGGAGGAAGUAGGAAGGGGUGGAGCGGGAGACGGAGCUGGUCGGCCAACCUGUAGAACAGUUCGAGCUCUUGGACAUAACGUCUCGAUCGAUUACCAAGAAGAAAAGGAUGGGGGUGUCGAAGGGAAAGUCGGUAACUUCGAUGUCUACCUCGGGCGUUACGUCGUCGUAGUGGGGUUGCUGGUACCCUGCCAGCUGCUACCGACGCACACCACACGCAGAGAGGCUGCACGAGCCGCACGACGGCUCCCCCGACGUCAAACUUCACCGACCCAUUACUUCAAGUCUCUUACGAAAAAAUCAUGUAAGUCUCUUCAACGAAAGAACGAAAAACACUAUAAAACCGAUGUGUCCAUGAAUCACGUCUCUCCAACACUGGAAACCCAGGAGAGUAGAACUUGUGAACGUGGUGUUGGAGUAGAGUACCCAUUUUACUGAUAAUCAUUUAACCGUGAUUUUUACUUAUGUCUUAUUCAUCUUUCUGUACUACUGGAGUAGAGUGCCCAAGGUAGAGUUAUAUCGAGUUCGAAAAAUCUUUGAUGUAAACUGUGUUUCGUGAUUUAACUAUAUCAACACUAUCGAAGACUUCAUUAAAAUAGUGAAAACGUCGAAACGGUUAAAUAAACAUUUACGAAACAAAAGGUGAUUAAAUAAAGCUUUACGAAAAAAAGGUAUUGUUAAUAAAACCGUAAUCGUUUUGUCUUCAACAGACCACCGCUCUCUGGUACGUCCGACAAAGCAAUGACCUUUUUACGGACUUCGUACUUGAGCAUAAACCAGGUACCGCAGCACGAAGCGCAGCCGCUGGCGGCCCCGAGGAACCAGGUACUUGUCCAAACGAGUCACCGUGCGUGUUCGGCUCCUUCGAUGUCAACAGCUACCUAUUUCAAGUUGAAGCACGUACCUAUUUCAAGUCAACAGUGAUUUCGAAGACAACAAGAGGUAGCGCGCGGACAUCACACAGGUACGUCCAGCUCAUUUUAAGAGUACCUUCAAGUUUAUUUUUUCGUCGAUAUCGCGUUGGCAGCCACCGAUAUUACGCACCACUUUUGAUUUUAGACUUUGCUCACAACGAUCUAUAUCAUCCGUCGUCUAAAAGACUCCAAACAACCACUUGCGUUGUUGUCAUCAAACACGGUAACCCCGGCACACCGUUGGUCUUUAGAUGUGGACCUACAUGAGAGAGACAGAGAGGACUUUAAGAUCCCGAUUAGAUGAACAUUAAGAUAGAGUAGAUAAACAUAAAAUAUAGAGUGUAUGGACUUGUAUCAUCGUCUGAUCGUCACAACAUACCAGUCAGAUACACUCUCUCAAACACACUUGCACCACAAAUGAAAAGAAGUCCUUCGGUAAAAAAUUAUUACUUGAUAUAGGGCGGGCGGGUGAAUAUAAAAAGAAGUCAUUUUCUCUACUUCAAGUAAAUAUGCACAUAUAUACAUCUGUAUCACAUGUAAGAUAAAGGUCACAUGUAAGAUAAAGGUCAGACCUUCAGGUCCUUUUUUUCUUCUUGGGAUUCAAGUUUUCGCUUAUUUUGUAAAUUUUUUAAUCCGCUACCCGAAGAGUAGGGAUAAACGCCAGACGUUCGACGGAGGUUGGAAACCGUUAUAAACAUUUUUUCUAACACGUCUAAAAAGCAAUGGGGUAAAAUCAAUGACUAACUUCUUUUAAAACAAGUAAUCCACUUUCUUGAACUAAAGAAAACAAGGAAACACCUCCUUCCAGUGGUGUCUCCAUCCCUCUUCCAGUGGUAUUUUCGUCCC
rnacentral:rRNA from 1 species